CCUACGGGCGGCAGCAGUGGGGAAUAUUGGACAAUGGGGGGAACCCUGAUCCAGCCAUGCCGCGUGUGUGAAGAAGGCCCUCGGGUUGUAAAGCACUUUCAGUGAGGAAGAACGCCUGGUGGUUAAUACCCAUCAGGAAAGACAUCACUCACAGAAGAAGCACCGGCUAACUCCGUGCCAGCAGCCGCGGUAAUACGGAGGGUGCGAGCGUUAAUCGGAAUUACUGGGCGUAAAGCGCGCGUAGGUGGCUUGAUAAGCCGGUUGUGAAAGCCCCGGGCUCAACCUGGGAACGGCAUCCGGAACUGUCAAGCUAGAGUGCAGGAGAGGAAGGUAGAAUUCCCGGUGUAGCGGUGAAAUGCGUAGAGAUCGGGAGGAAUACCAGUGGCGAAGGCGGCCUUCUGGACUGACACUGACACUGAGGUGCGAAAGCGUGGGUAGCAAACAGGAUUAAUACCCGAGUAGUC
rnacentral:rRNA from 1 species